rnacentral:rRNA from 1 species
AUUGAACGCUGGCGGCAGGCCUAACACAUGCAAGUCGAACGAGUUGCGGACGGGUGAGUAAUGUCUGGGACACUGCAUGAUGGAGGGGGAUAACUACUGGAAACGGUAGCUAAUACCGCAUACCAUCAGAUGUGCCCAGAUGGGAUUAGCUUGUUGGUGGGGUAACGGUUCACCAAGGCAACGAUCCCUAGCUGGUCUGAGAGGAUGACCAGGCACAAUGGAACGGAGACACGGUCCAGAGUCCUUCGGUAGGCAGCAGGGGGGAAUAUUGCACAAUGUGCGAAAGCCGGAUGCAGCCAUUCCGCGUGUAUGAAGAAGGCCUUCGGUUUGUAAAGUACUUUCAGCGGGGAGGCGUUACCCGCAGAAGAAGCACCGGCUAACUCCGUGCCAGCAGCCGCGGUAAUAC